UACGUAGGGGGCAAGCGUUGUCCGGAAUUAUUGGGCGUAAAGAGCUCGUAGGCGGUCUGUCGCGUCGAUCGUGAAAACUUGGGGCUUAACCCUGAGCUUGCGGUCGAUACGGGCAUGACUGGAGUUCGGCAGGGGAGACUGGAAUUCCUGGUGUAGCGGUGAAAUGCGCAGAUAUCAGGAGGAACACCGGUGUCGAAGGCGGGUCUCUGGGCCGAUACUGACGCUGAGGAGCGAAAGCGUGGGGAGCGAACAGG
rnacentral:rRNA from 1 species